CGUAAAAUAAAAACAGAGCCAGGCCAAAAAAAUAUAGAUGGAAGAAAACAGCUGUUUCCAUACUGUAAUUCCCAUUUAAAAAAUACCUCUCUAGCAUAAUAAAAGGCAAAGCCCACCAUGUAAACUAAAUAUGAUACAAAAUCUGUAGUAGAUCUUUUUUCUCCUUUGCUAUUAAAUUGUUACACUAUUAUAGAUUGGACAUUCAAUGUAAGAUCCAAGGAGGCACAUUUUUUUCAAACAGUUGUUUUGUCAUCUACAUGGUACAGAAAAAGAAUGUGGGAGAUAGACAAACUAGACACCAACAGUCUUAGGAUAUUAAAUUUAAUCAUAGAUUACACAGAAUAUGAUGUAAAAACAGCAAUUUACUAGAAUAAUUAUCACCUGCAAAAUGUGAAAAUAGUUUAGAAAAUGGAUUGUCAUAUUCUCUGACACAGCAAUAGUCAUGAAAGGUACACUUACAAUAUCAUGUGCUAAUCUGUGUAUUAACUAUACUACCUGCCAUUUAGCCAGGAUUCCAAGACAGAUUAAAUAUCCCGGAUUUCCAAUGCUUAUAAAUAUUUUGUCUAUAUGCGAUGAGUUUGUAAUGGGAUAUGAUGACCACAACAGUGUUGGCAGGUUUAGUUUUUUUCCAGCUGUUUUCAUGAAAGCAAAAAAAAAAGAAAAAAAAACCAACUCCAACAUGUUUUAG
rnacentral:lncRNA from 1 species